GACGAACGCUGGCGGCGUGCUUAACACAUGCAAGUCGAACGGAAAGGCCCUGCUUUUGUGGGGUGCUCGAGUGGCGAACGGGUGAGUAACACGUGAGUAACCUGCCCUUGACUUUGGGAUAACUUCAGGAAACUGGGGCUAAUACCGGAUAGGAGCUCCUGCUGCAUGGUGGGGGUUGGAAAGUUUCGGCGGUUGGGGAUGGACUCGCGGCUUAUCAGCUUGUUGGUGGGGUAGUGGCUUACCAAGGCUUUGACGGGUAGCCGGCCUGAGAGGGUGACCGGCCACAUUGGGACUGAGAUACGGACCAGACUCCUACGGGAGGCAGCAGUGGGGAAUAUUGCAGAAUGGGCGGAAGCCUGAUGCAGCAACGCCGCGUGCGGGAUGACGGCCUUCGGGUUGUAAACCGCUUUCGACUGUGACGAAGCGUGAGUGACGGUAAUGGGUAAAGAAGCACCGGCUAACUACGUG
rnacentral:rRNA from 1 species